rnacentral:rRNA from 1 species
CCUUGCACACACCGCCCGUCGCCUCAUCGAAGUUGGUUCUUGGCGAGGUUGUGUCUCAUUGGCACUAUCGAACCUGGGGUCAGCAACGAGGGAG